GUACGAUGUCAACAACGACGGCUUCAUUACCGAGGACGAAAUGCUGCAAGUGGUCGGUGCCAUCUAUCGGCUGAUUGAUACAACACAGUCGGACCACGUUUCACCAGAAGAAAGAGGGCAGGACCUGUUCACUAAAAUAGACGCAAAUCAUGAUGGCAUCAUCACCCUGGAAGAGUUCAUGGCAUACUGCUCAAAGGACGCCACCAUCAUGUCUGGCCUGGACAUGUAUAACCUGAUGUGGGAGACGUAGGAGUGCCGAACUCCACAGUGUGCCCGUCACCUCCAGCUGCCACAUCCGCAAGCCCGUGGCCGCCUGCGUUGACAGCCGCGAGGGGCUGCAGCGGUAUCUGGCAUGGAAACGGCGUUCGCUACGUUCACUCCACCACUUGCUCUGUUAUUUGUUACUGCCUGGCGUAUGCUGAGCUAGUCGUAAAGCACCGGACAUGGUCGGGCAACACGAAGUCUGUUCCAAUCUAUCGUCCACGCGGACGCGUUAAGGAUGCGUGUGUGGUGUGAUGCGCGCGCAUUGUAUGUGUAAGUAUAUUUUUCAGUGAAUGUGUUGAAUGGUUCAGGAAGUUUCGUGAAAAUGCUGCUGUCGAUUCAGAUCAGAACCAGCUGCAUGAAGCUACUGGUGCGUCAGUCGUACUAACUGGUUAUUGCAACGACGUUUCUGUCAGAGGCUUGCUCAUUCAGUUCGCUCUCGCGUAGUCCGGUCGUGAGCUACCAUGACUGCGGGUGACUCCGGCACUUGCUGUGUUUUGCUUGCUUGUGUGUAGUGCCCAAAGGUUCUAGAUACGCGCGUUUUUAUCAAGUAGUCAGGACAUAUACAGAGAUGCUGUGACGAGCCUCUUUGAAUAACCUCAUGCCACAUUCAGUUUAUCAUGUAGCGAGCACUGUGUUCAUCUUUCAUGUUCGGAUUUAUAAAUGUAUAUUGGUCAUUCA